rnacentral:lncRNA from 10 species
UUGCUCUGGAUUUCCAUGAAAUGGAGAAAUUUCAUAGCAGCGUCAAAUUCAUAUUAGUUCAGUAAGAAGAAAUUUGGCCAUGGACAGUAAAAAGAAGAAAGAAAAUAUGUGUACAAAAAGCACAUUUUAAUGCUGAAAACUCAAGAAGGAGUCAUGAAUCAGACAUCCAAACAUUCUUCAGGCACACGGAAUGCAAAAGAAACGAGUUUUGCUGUAUUUUCGUGUCGCAUGAAGCAUUCAUUUCUAUUCCUUACAGCUAGCAGCAUUUUCUGUUCAAUUAAAGGGAGAACAGCAGCUCACAAAGAAGGCAGCACUUCCUUCCAGAACUUGGAGAAGGAGCUUACAAAUUGCUCCAUCAAGGCCCGCAGCAGCCUUGACAGGUUCUUCUUUACUCAGAGUGGGGAGGAAGACAGACUGCCCUGAGGAGGCACUUUCAUCAGCCUCACCAGGACCAGGUCCAGCGAGACUGAACACUCAGUAACCAGACCCAGCAGAGGCCAGCAUGGGGGAUGCACACCCAUAUUGAGUUCCUCCUCCCUUGCCUCACAACUCUUUCUUCUCACUCAUGUGUCCCAGGAUUGCACCCCUGAAACAAGAAGUAGCUCCGGAGGUUUUGGUCUGCCUCUGGUUUCUGCAAAUCGCAGGCUAAAGCGAUGUGUGAGCCUGGCCAGCAGACCUCCGAGGUGGGUUGUGGAGCUGGGCAAUUCCAUGGAGCCCCUGUUGCAGGCGGUGAUGCCCUCUCUGAGGAUGUGGCAGGACCAUUUCUAAGUCAGCAUAAAGUACAAGCAGGACACAAGGUGUCUGGAUAUGUGGUAGCAGGUGGUUCUUGCACGGGCUGAGUCACUGACAGCUGCAGGAUAAGAUUGAGGAAUGAAUUGACUGGUAAUACGUUUGAAUGUCUUGGCAGGUGGAAAUGUUAGGCUCAGAGUAGUCCAUUCCCACUCAGACAUUCUGAGCAAGCAAGAGAUAUUGAAGGAGAAUGGCAGCUCCGGCAAGGGCAGAGGACGAUUCUGAACACGGGGGCCAGGACCUUCCCGCAGGCACAGCAAAGGGACUGCAGAGGGAGGGAGCGUGCAGCCUUUUUAGCUCCCUACUCAAAGGACAACCCUGGGUUCUUGACACCUGAGAUGCGGCAGGUGAAGAAUCUCCAAUGCACAAAUUCUUCUAAAGCUCUUGAGUUAGAAGAAAAAAGCUCCCCUAAGAUCCUGGCAACUUGUUUUGUUCCAGUAAGUGCAUCAGUGACUGGCAGGAUUCUGUCUCGAUUUUGUGUAGAAGAGCAAUGUUACACUGUAUAUAAAAUACUAAAAAUGGGAAAUGUUUACUGGCAUCUCUGAUCAAUUAGUUGUUGCUCAAAAUAUUUACACUAUAUAUUUUAAUUUUCGUUUUACCUAUGAGGAAAAUGAGGAUCAGAAAAAAAAUCCGGCUGCAAACUAUUAAAUUAACACAUAGCAGAGCUGAAAUUUACACCGCUUUUAUUUUCUUCUUCCCUUUGUAAAUUAUUUAAUAUUAUUUCAAGAAAUGGAAUUACACUUUCUACUUCCCAGUACAGUCUUACUCAGUUGUUUUUAUGUAAGGACUACUAAAAAACAAAAUAUUUCACAAGUAGUUGUAUUUAUGUCUACUGGUUGAAAAAACGUGAAAAUUAUGAAGAACUACAGCAAAACUUAAUAUUUUUACAAAUAUAUAUAUUAUUAAUCACAAAAUUUUCACUAUGUAUGUGAUAUAUCAUAAUAAAUAUGUAUGGAAAGUGUAUAUUUAGGUAGAAACAAACACAUUCUCACUUAGAUUUAUAAACCUGCUUGCAAAAUUCUUUAUUGCCAACAGGUUUUCAACAACCAAUUUGGAACAUUAGUUCUACCAAGGUAUCCCUGUUGUACUUUUUGCCUCUGAUACCCUGUAAUGCUCCCAGGAAUGAAGGUGCUCCCAGUGGGCAGGAGGGGAGAGGUCUUGGAGGGGUGUUCACUCCCUGGGCUAUGGCAGGCAUUGCACACAGACAUUAGUGUAUAUAUGGAUAGUGGGGCUUUGAUGGCAUGGAAGUCUGUGUUGAUUUAUUAGUGGCCUCAAAUCUUUAUUCCUCUCUUUAUUUACACCUUAUGUGAUAUGAUUUUGUGUUUUAUUUCAUGAAAAAGUCCAAGUCUACUUCCACUCUGUGAAAUCUGGGCUGGCCUUGAAGGUUAUUUGGCUAAAUCUAGAAACACAUGAGAAUACAUGGUAUCAAAUCUUCAGAUACUGUCUUGGUGAAUUUUGUGUCAACUUGGCUAGAUCCUAGUGCUCCACCUUUGUUCAAACACCUUUCUAGAUGUUGCUGUUAAGGUAUUUGUUAGAUGUGAUUAACAUUUAAAAUCAGUGGACUUCGAGUAAAAUGGAUCAUGCUCCAUAAUGUGGGUGGGCCUCGUUCAGUCAGUUGAAGGCAUUAAGAAAGAAUCCGACCUGCCCGGAGAGGAGGGAAUUCCGCUUCCCACAGCCUUUGGACUCAAGCCUGCAGCAUCAAACCUUUCCAGAAUGUCCAACCUGCCAGUCUGCCUUGUAAAUUUCCUACUUGCCAACCCUAUGAUCAUGUGAGCCAGUUGCUUAAAAGUCUCUCUCUCACAUCCCACUGGGCCCAUUUUUAUAAACAACUCUAGCUCCUACAGAACAAAAUAACAAGAUACAAAAUGCAAUUCAUGCGAAAAUAAUAUUAUCUGUGUGUCUGUGCUUCAGGGUCUGUCUGUAAACCUGGAAAGCUGUUGGGAUCCCCUUGCUCAGGCUUCAGGGGGUCCUGGGGGUCUCUGCCUUGCCCUCCUUGUGCCUCUGCUCUCACCUGAGCAUGACUGGCCUGGCCUGCUGGAGGGUAGGUGGCCCAGCCACCCUAUCACCCACACACAGUCAGCUCACCUGUGAGUGUGUGAUAUGGAUGAGAACCCAGCGGCACCCAGGGGAAUACUCAGCCAAGUGCAGCCCCCACCAACCCAGUCCACAGCAGAAAAUGAGUUCAGUGGGGUCCCAUCCUCGUGGAGCUACAUUUACAUGGAAAACGUCAGUCAGUUGACAACAUAAUUUCUUUUUUUUUUAACUAAGGUUUUUAUUUAAUGCAAGAUAUAUAGUGAAGUGAUCUUCUUUAUAUAU